GACUGCAUAGCUCAGUUGGCAGAGCAUUGGGCUAGUAUUCCAAAGGUUGUAGGUUCGAUUCCCACCGUGGCCA
rnacentral:tRNA from 1 species